rnacentral:piRNA from 1 species
AUUUCGCCUAGGACGUGUCAC